UACGGAGGAUGCAAGCGUUAUCCGGAUUCAUUGGGUUUAAAGGGUGCGUAGGCGGAAGAAUAAGUCAGUGGUGAAAGCCUGCGGCUUAACCGUAGAAUUGCCAUUGAUACUGUUUUUCUUGAGUAUAGUUGAAGUGGGCGGAAUGUGUAAUGUAGCGGUGAAAUGCUUAGAUAUUACACAGAACACCGAUUGCGAAGGCAGCUCACUAAGCUGUUACUGACGCUGAGGCACGAAAGCGUGGGGAG
rnacentral:rRNA from 1 species